rnacentral:rRNA from 1 species
CUACGGAGGGUGCAAGCGUUACUCGGAAUCACUGGGCGUAAAGCGCGCGCAGGCGGCUAUUUAAGUUGGAUGUGAAAGCCUAUGGCUCAACCAUAGAACUGCAUCCAAAACUAUUUAGCUAGAGUGUGGGAGAGGAAGAUGGAAUUAGUUGUGUAGGGGUAAAAUCCGUAGAGAUAACUAGGAAUACCAAAAGCGAAGGCAAUCUUCUGGAACACUACUGACGCUGAGGUGCGAAAGCGUGGGGAGCAAACAGGAUUAGAUACCCUAGUAGUCC